AAUUGGAGGGCAAGUCUGGUGCCAGCAGCCGCGGUAAUUCCAGCUCCAAUAGCGUAUAUUAAAGUUGUUGCAGUUAAAAAGCUCGUAGUUGAAUUUCGGGAUCAAUAUUUCGGUCAUGCCGUUGGUAUGCACUGUUAUCAUUGAUUUCUCACCUUCUAAAGAACCGUAAUGCCGUUAAUUUGGUGUUACGGGGAAUUAGGACUGUUACCUUGAAAAAAUUAGAGUGUUUAAAGCAGGCUCACGCUUGAAUACAUUAGCAUGGAAUAAUGAAAUAGGACAUCCGAUUCUAUUUUGUUGGUUUCUAGGAUCGAUGUAAUGAUUAAUAGGGAUAGUUGGGGGCAUUAGUAUUCAAUUGUCAGAGGUGAAAUUCUUGGAUUUAUUGAAGACUAACUACUGCGAAAGCAUUUGCCAAGGAUGUUUUCAUUAAUCAAGAACGAAAGUUAGGGGAUCGAAGACGAUCAGAUACCGUCGUAGUCUUAACCAUAAACUAUGCCGACUAGGGAUCGGAUGAUGUUAAUUUUUUAAUGACUCAUUCGGCGCCUUACGGGAAACCAAAGUGU
rnacentral:rRNA from 1 species